rnacentral:rRNA from 1 species
CUUGGUGACUGGAGCGGCAGGGGUACACCCGGACACAUCCCGAACCCGGAAGUUAAGCCUGCCAGCGCCGAUGGUACUUGGGGGGCAGCCCCCUGGGAGAGUAGGUCGUUGCCAAGA